CGAAUUGCGAUAUGUAAUGCGAAUUGCAGAAUUCAGUGAAUCAUCGAAUCUUUGAACGCAUAUUGCA
rnacentral:rRNA from 1 species